UCCCUGGUGGCUCAGUUGGUAAAGAAUCCACCUGCAAUGUGGGAGACCUGGGUUCAAUCCCUGGGUUGGGAA
rfam:TPA: Bos taurus chromosome 1, whole genome shotgun sequence.